CUGAACUAGAACAUUUUACAUUCCAAGUAUUUUUUUACGAUAAGUAAUUAAAUUUUGGUUUUAAUUGUAUUUAAUACUUUGAUCUAAAUUGUUAUUAAAAGUACUGUGUAAGUUUAUACUUAGUCACGUUUUUUAAAUACACAUGUAUUUUACUUUUCUCGUAUUCGAUAUGAAAAGUAGAGUGUUUAACUCGGGCUUUAAAUACGACUAAAACUGUACGGUUAUUACAAGACAGUGUAGGUACACUGAGGGCUUACCGCGAACCACAUUCGACGUGUUGCCUCCUUGUCACACUUACGUACAAAUUUACAAAUGCGAAAGAGAAGCAACACGUCUAACGUUGUUCGUGGUAGGUCUCUGGAGGCCUACCGCGAAAAUCGAAGUUCGUCAAUUGCGGGCAUUUUUCUCUGUCAUGAAAAAAUCGAUUUUCCCGGUAGGCCCCCUGGACUCUACAAGUAGGUAGCACGUGAACUACCGGCUGUUGACUCAAAAAUGGUGGUUAAACGCGUUUCAAGAUAAAUUCUCCAUUCCCAGCACACUACCACAUUAGUUUACUGUAUAAUCUUCUUCUUCCUCGCGUUGUCCCGUCUUUUUGCCACGGCUCAUGGGAGCCUACUACCAUACGUAAGAACUAGUAGUACAUUAAUGAGCAUAAACAAGUCCACACAUGAGCGUUUCAAAUUACAGUCAAAGCUAAUCUAGAUAUCAGUCCGGUUUCCUUUGUAACAUGCCAAACCUCCAUGGUGCACUCACCGAGCGCACUAGCCGGUGGUAAAAAAAACUAAGCCUAUUCCGCUUGUCUUUUGUUUGCAAUAGUGAUUUUUUCACUUAGAGGAUUUAACAACUAGAGACGCCAUGUCUGUAAUUUUCUGUACAAAACAGUAUGCCGAUAUUUGCGGGGGACGGGUACGUCAAAUGUAUUGACAUUGCUAUUUGUACGUUACGUUCAAAUAGCCACGUCAGAUAAACGUCAGUCCAUACAAUACAUAUGACCAUUGGCCGAGGUUUUCGGCAGAGGGGUAAGCUCUUAAAGUAGGCGACUCCGGUUGUUAAAUUCUCCAAGCUUUUCAAAGAUUUUCCUCUUGAAUUAAUUUUUAUCGCACAACUGAUUAUUUAUUAAAUGUUAUUCGAGCCUAAUGAUUGAUUUGUGUUAAAAGUUAAUACUUAAGUUCGUAUGUGGGCUCCCUCUAACGCAGCCCUUAUUUCUUCUGUUAAUCUAGAGACGCAGGACUGCAGCUGCUCGUUUAACUGAUUUUGACAGCUGAAGUAUUCCCUGCGUGUACUGUGUGAGAUGCGACGUUGGACAUACAGUAGCACCCGAGGCCAAAAUUCAUCGUUCGGAUCCAUGGAUGAAGAUCAAGAUACGGACGCAGGUAAAGCUCGCCCCUCAAAACGUAUAUAGCAAGAUUUCCUCCGUGCCGGCCAACCAUCACCGAAACGAUCAUGUAGUGCAGCUGCGCUUGAUUCUCGGACUGCUCUAAGCUAAGCACACGGUAUAAUGAUCGCGUGGGAUGCGGCUUAGGAAUUCGGAAGGCGUAAAAUCUUUGAAGAGUCGCUUUAUACCUACUGCCUAACGUAGAAAGCUUAAAUGACUAUACAGUAUGUAACUGAGCGUAAAGAAAUCGCGAGAAAAGAUUUCGCUGUUUCAUACAUAUCUACUGUUGAAAUUUUCUAUGGGAGAGUCAAAUUUUUUUCGCGAUUUCUUGAUAAUUAUAAUUUGUUUUUAAUUUAUUUACUUAUAGUAAAUGAAAACAAUAAAAUGAUAUGCAAAGUUUUCUAAAUUUCUAUUUACAGUUAAUUGUUUUCAUGUCAAAUGCAAUCUCUUAAAAUAUCGGUAGCUAAUUUGUUAGCAACUUAUAUUACUUAUCAAAGAGAAUUUGAAAUAGAGGGGGAUUGUCAAAGAAAAUUUUGUAGCCACAGUAAAUUUACUGCCAUCUUUCGACACAUGAUUCAAACUUUUAGAACGCCAAGUGACUUUGAUCUUUAUUCUUUCACUGAUAAGUGGUAAAAUUGUUAAAUAUCAAAAUCGGCUAAAGGUUGCGGCGCCAUCGCUCGAAACGAUGCCACCAUACCUUUGGCCUUUGAUCUAUUAGAUGUCGCUAAUUUUUGAUAUUUAACAAAUUUAACACAUAUCAGUGAAAGAAUAAGGAUCAAAGUUAAAUGGCGUUCUAAAAAUGGCAGUAAAUUUAACGUGGCUGCUAAGUCCAUCUCUAUUCACUUUGACCUUAUAUACUAGUAGAAUAUUACGUUUCUUAAUUUAAGACCAGUCCAAUAGAUUUUGCCUUACGUAGAGCAAAAAUAAAUCGAUUGAGAUCAAAGUAUUUAUAUUGAAACGAUUACCUACCCGUACCGUAUAGCCACUUAUAUGUAUUUUCUUUGUCGACAUUUUCCCAUAUUAUAUAAAGAUUUCUU